rnacentral:rRNA from 1 species
GACGAACGCUGGCGGCGUGCCUAAUACAUGCAAGUCGAGCGGACGGAUGGGAGCUUGCUCCCAGACCGUCAGCGGCGGGCGGGUGAGUAACACGUGGGCAACCUGCCUGUAAGACUGGGAUAACUCCGGGAAACCGGGGCUAAUACCGGAUAACUCUUUCCCUCACAUGAGGGAAAGCUGAAAGAUGGCACCUCGCUAUCACUUACAGAUGGGCCCGCGGCGCAUUAGCUAGUUGGUGAGGUAACGGCUCACCAAGGCGACGAUGCGUAGCCGACCUGAGAGGGUGAUCGGCCACACUGGGACUGAGACACGGCCCAGACUCCUACGGGAGGCAGCAGUAGGGAAUCUUCCGCAAUGGACGAAAGUCUGACGGAGCAACGCCGCGUGAGUGAUGAAGGUUUUCGGAUCGUAAAACUCUGUUGUCAGGGAAGAACAAGUACCGGAGUAACUGCCGGUACCUUGACGGUACCUGACCAGAAAGCCACGGCUAACUACGUG